rnacentral:rRNA from 1 species
UACAGAGGUCCCGAGCGUUGUUCGGAUUCAUUGGGCGUAAAGGGUGCGUAGGCGGCUUUCUAAGUCUGAUGUGAAAUCCUGGGGCUCAACCCUGGAACUGCAUUGGAUACUGGGAGGCUAGAGUACUGGAGAGGAAACUGGAAUUUACGGUGUAGCAGUGAAAUGCGUAGAGAUCGUAAGGAAGACCAGUGGCGAAGGCGAGUUUCUGGACAGUUACUGACGCUGAGGCACGAAGGCUAGGGGAGCAAACGGG